rnacentral:rRNA from 1 species
AUACGGAGGGUGCAAGCGUUAAUCGGAAUUACUGGGCGUAAAGAGUACGUAGGUGGUUUAUUAAGUCGGAUGUGAAAGCCCCGGGCUUAACCUGGGAACUGCAUUUGAUACUGGCAAACUAGAGUAUGGUAGAGGCGGGUAGAAUUCCUAGUGUAGCGGUGAAAUGCGUAGAUAUUAGGAGGAAUACCAGUGGCGAAGGCGGCCCGCUGGACCAAUACUGACACUGAGGUACGGAAGCGUGGGUAGCGAACAGGAUUAGAAACCCCAGUAGUCC